rnacentral:lncRNA from 1 species
UGGCUUAUUUUCACUUAUAUCCAAAGACUGUAUAAGAUAUCAACAAAUUAUUUUUACUAAAUUGUUAGUUGCGACAUGUUGUAAGAUGUAAAUUUUGAUUGCAAGCGUACGUUGAAUGUAAAAGGGAGUUUUCUCCCCUCUUGUAUUUAAAAAUACGCGUUUGGUGAUAUAACUCAUUAACUAAAUAUAAUAAAGACCUAUGGUCUUUUGAUUUGAGGUCCUUGGUUUAUGACCUUGAAAUUGAUCUCAAGGUCAUAGCUUAAUUUGACGUUUUAGAUUUUGACCUUUGCUUUUAUUCUAUAUGUAUACAUGAUAAAGAUAUACAACUUUUAGAAAAAG